UGGAGCUGUCGGUUGGUACACAGUGUGUGCUGCUCGGUAGAAGUCUUGUUUAUUUUCAGCGUGCUUAGUUGUAAAGUGUUAAGUUGAUCGCCGUUGUUACCUCUCUAGGUCGUGGUUUUAAAAUACUUGUUUUUCCAGACGUUGAAGUUAGGUUCAGGUUUAGGUUCUGAAUGAAAGAUGAAAAGACGUGAUUUAUAGACGUCUUUGUUUGGGCCAAAUGAAAGCUGGUCCAGAGCAGGCAAAAUCUCAACCAAACACAGACGUCUAUGAUUGGUUCAGAUUUGGUCCAGACCAGACCAAAAACCAACGUCCGUGAAUGUGGAAAUCAGGGCCGGUCCGGAAUGCACCAAAAAAAACAUCCAGUCCAGACAGGACCAAAAAAAGACCUCCAAAAGUUGUCAGUGUUGGACGGUGCUUACUGAGAAUGUUGGUGGAGCUCAGCAGUGAUGCGUCUCCAACAGCACCCUGGAGAGGAGCACUGGGAACGGACAAGAUAAAUAUUUUGCAUCCCUGCCAUUGACAAAGUGGUUACUGCUUAUCACAGGGUGGAAUCAGUGCUCACCUAAAAACCCCACUGAUUGAGAGAAAUUGUAAUUGUUUUUAGGCAGAAUUAUGUGAGGUUUUCUGUGUUGUUGGAGGUGGGUCUUGGUCAGUUUAGCUCAGAAAAUGCUGCCCUCGUCAAUCAUAGGCCUAAUCCUAUGCAGGCCGGCCUUGUGUUUCAUGUUAAUACUACUCCUAAACACAACCCACCAUCACUGUGUCUCAUGUUAAUACUACUCCUAAACACAACCCACCAUCACUGUGUCUCAUGUUAAUACUACUCCUAAACACAACCCACCAUCACUGUGUCUCAUGUUAAUACUACUCCUAAACACAACCCACCAUCACUGUGUCUCAUGUUAAUACUACUCCUAAACACAACCCACCAUCACUGUGUUUCAUGUUAAUACUACUCCUAAACACAACCCACCGUCACUGUGUCUCAUGUUAAUACUACUCCUAAACACAACCCACCAUCACUGUGUCUCAUGUUAAUACUACUCCUAAACACAACCCACCAUCACUGUGUCUCAUGUUAAUACUACUCCGAGAGCUCUUAUGAAGCAUCCACCCAAUCACUCUUACUUUAGGCCAUUUUCAAACAAGUCUACACAACAAUCUAUUACUCUUAAAGUCCUUAAAAUAGCAUGCAGAAGUAUUAUGUGUGAAAUCACAUGUACAAUACUGUAUCAGAUUAAUAUCCAAAAAUACAUCUACAAAGUAUACUGUACUUAACAGAAAAAUAAAACAAUGUAAAUUGUAA